UUUCAAGAAAACAACAACAACAACAACAACAACUUUGAAAACACUGAUACUGCAUUGACUUUAGCAGUUUUAAUUGCUGUGAAUAACCAACAACUGGGCGACGAAAGCAAUGAAGACAACUUUAGAAUGGGAGACGUCAUGAAAUUGUAUGGUGUGGAGGAGUAGAAGAUGGAAUUGGUGACUUUUCUGCUUGAAAGAAAGCAAAGUGAUCCUCCACAGCUGACGGUGAUGAAGUGUCGAUGGAGUCCAGAUGUUUGCUGGGGUGAAACCUUGACGGUAAGAUUCAGGUUUUACUUAAACUACUUUUAAAUAAGCGUAAAUGUGGACUAGUAGAAUUGUUUACACCGAG
rnacentral:lncRNA from 1 species